rnacentral:rRNA from 1 species
UACGGAGGGGGCUAGCGUUGUUCGGAAUUACUGGGCGUAAAGCGCACGUAGGCGGCUUUGCAAGUUAGAGGUGAAAGCCCGGGGCUCAACCUCGGAAUUGCCUUCGAUACUGGGUAUCUUGAGUUCGGGAGAGGUGAGUGGAAUGCCGAGUGUAGAGGUGAAAUUCGUAGAUAUUCGGCGGAACACCAGUGGCGAAGGCGACUCACUGGCCCGAUACUGACGCUGAUGCGCGAAAGCGUGGGAGCAAACAGG